GCACCCGUGGUGAAACGGAUAUCACAACAGUCUUCGGAACUGUCGUUGCAAGUUCGAUUCUUGCCGGGUGCA
rnacentral:tRNA from 1 species